GACGAACGCUGGCGGCGUGCUUAACACAUGCAAGUCGAGCGGUAAGGCCCUUUCGGGGGUACGACGAGCGGCGAACGGGUGAGUAACACGUGGGUGACCUGCCCUCAGCUCUGGGAUAAAGCCUGGGAAACCGGGUCUAAUACCGGAUAUGACUCCAUGACGCAUGUUGUGGGGUGGAAAGCCUUGUGCGGCUGAGGAUGGGCCCGCGGCCUAUCAGCUUGUUGGUGGGGUGAUGGCCUACCAAGGCGACGACGGGUAGCCGGCCUGAGAGGGCGACCGGCCACACUGGGACUGAGACACGGCCCAGACUCCUACGGGAGGCAGCAGUGGGGAAUCUUGCGCAAUGGGCGAAAGACCUGACGCAGCGACGCCGCGUGAGGGAUGACGGCCUCG
rnacentral:rRNA from 1 species